UACGUAGGGCGCAAGCGUUGUCCGGAAUUAUUGGGCGUAAAGAGCUCGUAGGCGGCUUGUCACGUCGGCUGUGAAAACCUGGGGCUCAACCCCGGGCCUGCAGCCGAUACGGGCAAGCUAGAAUUCGGUAGGGGAGACUGGAAUUCCUGGUGUAGCGGUGAAAUGCGCAGAUAUCAGGAGGAACACCGGUGGCGAAGGCGGGUCUCUGGGCCGAUAUUGACGCUGAGGAGCGAAAGCCAGGGGAGCAAACGGG
rnacentral:rRNA from 1 species